AGAUUACAAUUUAGAUUUUAUUCUUAAGUGUGAUUAUGUAUCAUAGUCACACAAACCUUUUUUUAAAAGGACAAAAUUGUAAUUUCAGCUUUCAUGGAAGUUUAGGCA